UCGGUGCCGCAGCUAACGCAUUAAGUACUCCGCCUGGGAAGUACGCUCGCAAGAGUGAAACUCACAGGAAUUGACGGGGACCCGCACAAGUAGCGGAGCAUGUGGUUUAAUUCGAAGCAACGCGAAGAACCUUACCUAAGCUUGACAUCCCAAUGACAUCUCCUUAAUCGGAGAGUUCCCUUCGGGGACAUUGGUGACAGGUGGUGCAUGGUUGUCGUCAGCUCGUGUCGUGAGAUGUUGGGUUAAGUCCCGCAACGAGCGCAACCCUUGUCUUUAGUUGCCAUCAUUAAGUUGGGCACUCUAGAGAGACUGCCA
rnacentral:rRNA from 1 species